AGAGUUUGAUCCUGGCUCAGGACGAACGCUGGCGGCGUGCCUAACACAUGCAAGUCGAACGAGAAUCUUUGAACAGAUCUUUUCGGAGUGACGUUCAAAGAGGAAAGUGGCGGACGGGCGAGUAACGCGUGAGUAACCUGCCCAUAAGAGGGGGAUAAUCCAUGGAAACGUGGACUAAUACCGCAUAUUGUAAUUAAGUUGCAUGACUUGAUUAUGAAAGAUUUAUCGCUUAUGGAUGGACUCGCGUCAGAUUAGAUAGUUGGUGAGGUAACGGCUCACCAAGUCAACGAUCUGUAGCCGAACUGAGAGGUUGAUCGGCCGCAUUGGGACUGAGACACGGCCCAGACUCCUACGGGAGGCAGCAGUGGGGAAUAUUGCGCAAUGGGGGCAACCCUGACGCAGCAACGCCGCGUGCAGGAAGAAGGUCUUCGGAUUGUAAACUGUUGUCGCAAGGGAAGAAGACAGUGACGGUACCUUGUGAGAAAGUCACGGCUAACUACGUGCCAGCAGCCGCGGUAAUACGUAGGUGACAAGCGUUGUCCGGAUUUACUGGGUGUAAAGGGCGCGUAGGCGGACUGUCAAGUCAGUCGUGAAAUACCGGGGCUUAACCCCGGGGCUGCGAUUGAAACUGACAGCCUUGAGUAUCGGAGAGGAAAGCGGAAUUCCUAGUGUAGCGGUGAAAUGCGUAGAUAUUAGGAGGAACACCAGUGGCGAAGGCGGCUUUCUGGACGACAACUGACGCUGAGGCGCGAAAGCGUGGGGAGCAAACAGGAUUAGAUACCCUUGUAGUCCAGAAGUGUUAGUAACCGC
rnacentral:rRNA from 1 species